AACGAUAGGCUUAUGACAAACACGAAGA
rnacentral:piRNA from 1 species